UCCCUUGGUUUUCUGGAUCCAUAUGAAGAAGAGCUAAGGCUUUAGAUCAGGUUUUACACCUAUUCUAAAGAAAACAUUUCUGCCAAAGUUGUUUUUACCAACUGUGCAUGUGGCACAGGAAAGCUGGCAGGAAAUCAACAUGCAUCUUGCAGACACAUUAAAAUUGCUUUUGGAAAAGUACAGUGUGAGCAUAAAGCCAAAGUAAGUCUUUGUAGCUCUUACAGGGAGAGCCAUCUGUCCACAUGGGACAGGAUCAAUUUCAAAUUGAGCGUGCAGACAGUAAAUUACCUUGAGACUUUAUCUUCUAAUCUUCAGUUGAAGUAAAUGGACAGCAAUAGUGCAAGCAGUGCAAGACUGGGUCUUCAAAAGAAAAAACAGUUGGGAGUAUGCAUUGUUUAAGAUAAAUAUCUCAUAAAACAUGUGUUAUUUAAAUUAAAUAUUCUGGCAAAACUCUCUUUAAAAACCCAUAAAAGUGUUUAAUUCUUCCUGGAUAUAUGUUAAUGGUUACAGAUAAUUUCAAGUAUUAUGUGGGAUCAGAAAAAAAGGUACAAGAUCAGUGCUGGUCCCAAAAAUACUGCAAAGAGAUUACUUAUCAAAUAAUAUUUGGAUAAUAGAUAAACAUGUAAGAAGUUUAUGAUCUAACUCAUUGCAUUAGCAAGUGUUCAUAUGUUGGAUUUUUUCCUUUUCCAGCUAACUAAGAAUAAGAAAAUUAUGAUUAACUUUCAGGUAACAGAACAAUCUGGUUUAAAAACCCUCUCUUUAAAUGAUUUUACUUGGACAUCUAAUAAAAAUAUUGAUUCCAACCUCACAUAUUACAAACACUGGACAAGUUUAGAGUUACAAGUGAUCUAUUUUUCAAUGGUUUUAUGACAAUCACAUACUUCAAAGCAAAUUAAUGCUACAUCAGAUGAUACGGAAUGAGCAUCCUGUGCCUAAAUACAGAAAGGUUGGUCUAGUCAAGUGAUUUUUGUUAGCUUUGGAGCUUCACCAGUUUUCAGGAGAUGCACAGAUUUCUAGACAAUAUGCUCAUUUUUCUCAGUUAACUUCCCAGAAUGGCUUAGAUAGUGCCCAGAGACCACUCCUCCUCUCUGCUGCUACCUACUGUUGUGAUCAAUCACCUAUCAAAAUGCAAGAUUACCCAAAGCUAUAUUGUUCUGUCAGAGGAAUUUGUGAGUCUCCUGUCACUGGAUGUUUCUAAGAUAAAAAGGUCUGUGCCAAGGUUCACUACCCUUGUAGUCACAGGAUUUUCUCAUGUCUAACCUGACUGCAGUUUGAAUUAUUUCUGUUCAUCAGAGAUAUGAAGGACAGAUGCUUCUCUUCUGCUUUCCAAUGGCUUUUUACAUAUUUGAAGCUAGGGUUUUUUUGAAAUUGUGCAGUUGAUCAUUCCUGCCUAAGUAUUGUUCUUUGCCUUUGUCCUUACUGAAUUACGUCCCAAGUUUUUCUGACCAUUAUCCAGACUAAUUAGAAAUGAGUAGGCAAAAUGAGGUAGAAAUAGGUAGAAAUGAGUAGGCAAAAAAUUCAGUCCUUAACAACAGGCCAAACUGGGAGGUAGCUGGUUUAUCUCACACAAAACAGCACUAAGGUAGCAGGAACUGGACAUGAUAUUUGGUCAGUAGUGACCUUAGGCAGGAAGCAGUUGAGCCUCUGCUCAGCAUGUGUUCAUUAGGAAUCUAACUAUCCACUUCAUGAAAGUUGGUAAGAGGAGUAUUUCUACAGUAUGCAGCAAUUUCAAGUCUUUGAGUUUACAGUUUGAGAAAAAUUAUGGGCAGAAAAUUACUAUUGGUCUGGUAAAGUCAGGACUGAUAGUAUAAUUUUCUAUGGCUUUAUUUUUGUUUUGGUUUGAAUUCAUGUUAGCAUUAAAGGUAAAAAUACAAUUUAAACAGUGCUGGAAACUCCUUAUGUUAAAUAACCUCUAUACUCUGUAUACAGGUUGCUUAUAGUUAUGUAUAGAGGUUAAAUAACCUCUAUAGUCUGACCUUAGGUGGGGAAAGACAUAGUUGCUUCAAACAAAUUAGUAUUUCCUCACAAUGUUCUGUACUGACAAACACUGGAACCUCUAUGACAUACACAAUGUAAAUUAUGUGAAAAUACAAAAAUUAGCCAUUGUACAUACUGGUAAAUAAACGUAUUUACUGCAGAAUACCAGAAAGUUUCUUUUAAAAAAUUUACUUUGUAAAAACACAUUCUUCCAGGUUUAUCUGAAGCACCAUAUAGAUCUGAACAAAGUGAGAUGCCUGACUAAUCAAAACAGGUCAAGACAGUCUGGUGUGCAAACAAACAUGACAUAUUACAGGCAUUAUGAAAGAACAUGACUGGUUAAAUAUUAUCUCUCAAGAUUAAGGGUUUUGUUUCUCAAUUUUGAUAUUUCUCACCUUUUUACACACUAUAUAAUUUAAAGGAAAUCUAGACCACAACAUACUCACAUUCUAUUGUACAUCACUGGUUUAUUUAAGAAACGUGAAGAGAUUAAUUAGAGGAUGUUUACUUUGAGAAUAAAAA